GCCAUGCCCUAGCUCAUCCUCCCCCACAACAAGAAAGGUUCUUGUUCUAGGUCCUGGAGGAAGAAGAAGAGCAUGCAAGAAGAGGAGUAAGAGGGGGAAGGAAGAAGAGAAGAUCCCCUCCUUUACUCCCUGAUUCCUCUAGAUCCAGCUCUAAAGUUGCCUCAUCUUUUAGGUUGCAAUCGCCGGCGUGGAGGAAGAACACGGUCAGCCAUAUCCAUGAUGCAGUGCCCUCCUCUGCCUCAUCUUUUAGGUUGCCUCUCUCCCUCCCCCAUUUUUGUGUAACAAUAUAGAGAAAUCUAUGUAAGCCAACUGUUUGAUGAUGUGUCUAUGAGUCAUGAAAUUGUGUUUUUGCGUGUUUUUAUGUUGUAGUUGUUGCAGACACCGGCAUCUACGAUGAAGCUAUUCAUUUUGGUCACGCCACUGUACAUAAGCCGCCCGCAAUAAGCUUGGACUGCCUUCGUUCUGUGGGGAUCGGUCAUCGUCCCCUUCAAUAGAUUCAUUGGGGUCGCCACAGACGAGUUCUGCUCCUUGUCCUUCCACGUUUUGCGCAGAUUUAUGUGAUGAAUUUUGUUAAUGAAACAUCAAUUAUGUCCGUUCCGGUGGUGUAAAUGAAUCAAGAAACUAUAGUAGAAUAUUGAUGCAUCUCUGGCUCUCCUGAAUUUGUUCGGCGGCACCUUCUCUCCCCCAACUCAGCAGUAUACAGCAUUGAUGAGGAUAACUCUCCACUUUUCCCCAAUUUAGAAGCUUCCGUUUGCAGUACAUGUUUUUCAUAUGUGGUUCCAUGGCACUGAUAGGUAAAACCAAUUUUAUGUCCAAUAAAAAUUGGCACUGUAGAACAUGAUUAGGAGGGUGGAGUUAUUGCUUUGGAGUUUGAUAAUUUUAACCUGGUAAAUGCUUAAUUUUGGCUAUGGUCACAUCCUUUUCAUUAUUACAGCUGCUUUUUUUUGUUUUACUGUCAUUGCUUCAACCUAAUAUUAUUAUUUUAAAAUAUUUAUCCUCGCAUUUGUUUCAGAAAUUUUGUAGAAGUAAGAUCUCUUAACUAGCUUUCUGUCUUAAUUUUAUUUUGACAUACAUAGUUCUUGUGCUGUGUAUUCACGUUGUAUUAUCUUUUAUACAGAGUACACAUAGGAGAUACUAUUUAGUUAGUAUCUGAAGUUUAGCAUGAUAUUCACACUUUUGUUAUAAUUAUUUUCUCGCUUGCAUUGCUACUCCGUAGAUUAUGAUUUUGUUGGUCAAUGAUGAUAUUAGCAACUUCUAGUUCACCGAAUGCUUGCCAUUUCUGAAAUUUCAUCUUUUUUAAAUAGUAUUGUUGUUUUGUAGUGGCCUUUUGGACGUCCAUUUUUUAUAAAUACCCUCGGUUCUUUCCAUUUCACAUUAGAGAGUGACCUUUACAUCAAACAUUUGCACAGAAUUUCCAUUAAACCUAUUCACUUGUCUUUUAGGAUUUGAGCAUAUGUUACUCGUAGUAAAUGGGACUGCCAACAAUGUGCGUGUAUCGAUUAUUCCCUGGAAGGUUACAUAUGGGUGAAGAAAAGUGCAAUUCUAUUGUUUGGAGCAUUUGUCUCUAGCCAGUGAAUUUGGAAGGUGAAAGUCAUUGUCAUGUUUUCUUGUGGUGUCAUGUGUCCCAUCAUUUGAAAUAAGACUUGUUUACGCAGCCCAAGUUUUCUUCCUCGCAUGCGCAAUGAGCGCGCAGGCCGUGAGCGCCACCUCGCUAUCGUGGAUACAUCCAGAGGGCUCAGAGUACGAAGUUCAGCUUUAUCAGCGUUCACGCAAUUUCCAAAGGUGUGGGCAGCCAAGAAGAUUAUGCCGUAGCCUGAAUUUUUAGCCACUACACCAACACUGAUGAGGCCGGUUUCCCCAGUUGCUGCAGAAAAGUAGGAUGAGUAAGAGCUCCGAUACUGAACAUAGAUUGUUCCUGGAACUUCCUCAGUUCCUAUAAUGAUUACUAUUUCACAUGAAACCCAAUAUCGUUAUGAAGUUGUUCCUGGUAGACUCUGGUAUGGUAUCAAUCGUUCUU